rnacentral:rRNA from 1 species
AAUACGUUCCCGGGCCUUGUACACACCGCCCGUCAAGCCAUGGAAGCUGGGGGUACCUGAAGUCGGUCGCCGCAAGAAGCUGCCUAGGGUAAAACUGGUAACUGGGGCU